AAAACUUUGAUUUCGCAGCCAUAAAGCGAGCGAGCUGGCGAAAAAAGCAAACAACACGUGUACAUAGUUUAAGUGCCCUGAGCCACCCUGAACUCAUCUCGAUUGCUUUUCGCGCUACGUCUGUCGCAUAUUUUAAAUCCCCAGUUGAGUGGCAAUCAAACCAUAGUCGCAUCCAGAACCAGAACCCGAACCAUCGCCAGAGCCAGUGGCAGUAACAGUAACAGUCCUACUAGCAGGAGUCAACCACCCGCCAACAGUGCCACCCCAGUGACCUCGGUAAGUUUCUUCCUGUCGCCCACUCAGGCAGCACCCACGCCCUUUCAGCAGCUCAACUGCUUCGGAUGCUGCUUCUGGCUUAAUUAAACAAGCGCAGCGUCACCUCAGCAACGGGCCGCCAGAUGGGGAAAUGACGAUGGGGAUGGCUCAGAAGAGGCUAGCCACAGCCGGACGAGUUCGCCAACUUUUAAAAAUGAUAAUAAUUUGCUUUUACCCGGCGAGAGUUUUCCGUGGAAAUGCACUGGAAGAAAUAUGAAAAUUAGAGUUAAAGAAAAUUUUCCUCUAACAGUUUAAAAGUAAAUAUGAACAGAAAAUAUUGAAUGAGUCAUCUAUAAACCCACUUUUAUUUAAAUACCUAAAAGGCAA